CAGGGCCUUGUGCAUGAGAGGCAAGCACUCUACCAAUUGAGAUGUAUCCCUAGCUCCCCAAUGAUUGCUUUUUAAAUGCCACAAUGUAAUUCAUUUUAUUUUGCAUUUGACUGUAUGGUAGAAAAAGAAGAAAUUAAUAACGUUUAACUGUGUUAAGUUCUAACAUGGAUAAUGGAGGUAUUGAUCUUCUUUCUGAUGUUUGUAGAGUUCCACAGUGUCUUUUCUUUCCACUUUUCCCAGUAAUACUCUAAAUACCAUUUCUAGGUCCAAAGUCUAUUUCUAAGAGUAACUAGUAUUUAACAUUUUUAAUGUCCUAGGGAAUGCUAUGCAUUUCAUUUUAAGAUUUUUAUACCAAGUAGUAUCAGAUUACUACUUGACUGGGACUUAAAGAUUAGUUCACAUUAUCAUGAACUUCCUGCUUGCAUGUAGGUCAUAAUUGUUUUUUUUUUUUUAAUACCUGUUUCCGACCAGGAAUUUUUUUACUUAAAACUUUUUUAAUGAACUGGGCAUAGUGAUGCAUGCAUACAAUCCCAGCUACUCAGGAGGUUAAGGCAGGAGGAUUACAAGUUGGAAGUCUUUUUGGACAACUUAGUGAGACCCUGUCUCAAAAUGAAAAUAAAUAAAUAAAAAAGGCUAAAGCUCCAAGGUGUUGAGUCUGUAAAUCCUGUGUGACUUUGAAC
rnacentral:lncRNA from 1 species